UACGGAGGGUGCAAGCGUUAUCCGGAUUUACUGGGUUUAAAGGGUGUGUAGGCGGGCUUUUAAGUCAGUGGUGAAAUCUCCGGGCUCAACCCGGAAACUGCCAUUGAUACUAUUAGUCUUGAAUUCUGUUGAGGUAGGCGGAAUAAGUCAUGUAGCGGUGAAAUGCAUAGAUAUGACUUAGAACACCAAUUGCGAAGGCAGCUGGCUAGACCUGUAUUGACGCUGAGGCGCGAAAGCGUGGGGAGCGAACAGG
rnacentral:rRNA from 1 species